AACAAGGUCUCCGUUGGUGAACCAGCGGAGGGAUCAUUACCGAGUUUACAACUCCCAAACCCCUGUGAACAUACCACUUGUUGCCUCGGCGGAUCAGCCCGCUCCCGGUAAAACGGGACGGCCCGCCAGAGGACCCCUAAACUCUGUUUCUAUAUGUAACUUCUGAGUAAAACCAUAAAUAAAUCAAAACUUUCAACAACGGAUCUCUUGGUUCUGGCAUCGAUGAAGAACGCAGCAAAAUGCGAUAAGUAAUGUGAAUUGCAGAAUUCAGUGAAUCAUCGAAUCUUUGAACGCACAUUGCGCCCGCCAGUAUUCUGGCGGGCAUGCCUGUUCGAGCGUCAUUUCAACCCUCAAGCACAGCUUGGUGUUGGGACUCGCGUUAAUUCGCGUUCCCCAAAUUGAUUGGCGGUCACGUCGAGCUUCCAUAGCGUAGUAGUAAAACCCUCGUUACUGGUAAUCGUCGCGGCCACGCCGUUAAACCCCAACUUCUGAAUGUUGACCUCGGAUCAGGUAGGAAUACCCGCUGAACUUAAGCAUAUCAAACAA
rnacentral:rRNA from 1 species